rnacentral:tRNA from 1 species
GGGGAUGUGGUGGAAUGGUAGACACAACAGACUUAAAAUCUGUUGAUUCCUUUU